rnacentral:rRNA from 1 species
AUCGAACGCUGGCGGCAUGCCUAACACAUGCAAGUCGAACGAGUGGAGGACGGGUGAGUCAUGUCUGGGAAACUGCCUGAUGGAGGGGGACAAACACUGGAAACGGUCGCUAAUUCCGCAUACCGUAGCAUCUGCCCAGCUUGCAUUAGCCAGUAGGUGGGGUAAAGUCUCACCUUGGCGACGAUCCCUAGCUGGUCUGAGAGGAUGACCAGCCACACUGGGACAGAGACACGGUCCAGACGCCUACGGGAGGCGGCAGUGGGGAAUAUUGCACAAUGGGCGCAAGCCUGAUGCAGCCAUGCCGCGUGUAUGAAGAGGGCCUUCGGGUUGUAAAGUUCUUUCAGCGGGGAGGCGUUACCCGCAGAAGAAGCACCGGCUAACUCCGUGCCAGCAGCCGCGGUAAUAC